AGCUAAAUUGAAGCAAGAGUUUGGGUUAAUCUUCAUCUAAGGUAAGGGGGUUAGUCUUCAUCAUAAUCAUGUUCAAUUUUUGCAUUUUCUCAUUGUUGUAUGAAAUGGGUUGAUGAAAAAUUGUUGCUAAAUUCGUGCUCUUGCUGUGAAGCUAUUUUCUUGUGCAUGAAUUGAUGAUUAUGGUAUGUUUGUGGGUGAAAUUACAUGUUUCAAAGUAUGUAUAAAUGUUAAGUUAUGAAGUUAUACUUAAUUGAUGAAUUUGGAUAUGUUGUUGUUGAAAUGAGAUAUGAUUCAUGUUCCAUUAAUGUUGUUGCUAUUAACUGAUGCUAUUGUGAGUGAAUCAUGACUUGGGUAUACUAAAUUAUGGAUUGAUGAUGAGAAAUGAGAUGUUGUUGUUGUUUUGAGAAAAUGGGUCAAAUGGUGAUUUUGUUUAAAAUGAUGAUUGAUUCAAGUUUGUAUAUGGAUUCAAGUGUAUUUUCAUGUCUAAAAACAUUUGGGUAAACCUUUGGAACCAAUUUGGGCAUUGGGAAGUCAAAAAUUGGGAUUUUGGGGUGAAAAUGGGUUUUUCACGAAAACAGAUUUUUCUGCAACCUGGCAUAACUCGCGAGGCGAGUGGGAGGCGAGCAGCCCAGUGACAGCUCCCCCUGUUUCGCGCUCUUGCAUCGUUUUCGCAUAUUUCUGUUUUGAUUUUGACUUUGAGAAAAAAAUUAAAGUUUUAGAUAAAUAUGUCAUUGUUCUAAUGGCUUUGGGCUGGCAUCCAAACGAUUUUUAUAACUUGAGUUAUGAUUAAUUUACUACACAUGUGUCAUUUGAAUUUUUUUGUGAAAACUUAUCAUAACUUUCUCUAAGAGCCGUGAAACUUUUCUAAACUUGAUAUUGAAUUUAAUGAAGUACUUAGAGCGAAUAAUUGAGUAUGUAAUGAUGUAUUUGGGAUGUGAUGAUUAUCAUAAGGUAUAUGCAUGCUAUCUUACUUGAAUUAUGAUAGUGCUUGAGUUGUGAGGCCACAUGUGAUAAUUGAGGUUUGUUGAUUAUUGUGAGUUAUGUAAUUGAUAGGAAAUUAUGAGAAGGUGAUGAUAUUGGUGAAUCCAUAUGUAUGUUAUUUAUGAUAUGGUGUAUGAUUAUAUACGUGGUGAUGAAUUAUUGGUGCGAUUGCAUAAAUGCAAAUAAUUAUUGGUGAUGAUAUAGUGAGUUGUUGUGUGAACAUAUGCAUUGUUGUUGAGUCAUAUGUUCAUGCAUACAUAAUUGGUGAUGACGGAUAUGUUUAUAUAUCCAUAUUGGUGAUGAUGGGCGACAGCCUAAAAUAUUGGUGAUGACCGGUACCGCAUGCAUAUAGGUGUUGUGUCUAGGAUCAUAUCAUGAGGUGACAUGAGUAGUUGGGAAUUUACUUGAUGUACUUGUGAUUGUAAAUGAUUCAUGGUGAUGUUUGUAUUUGAUGGAUUGUUGUAUCAUGUUAUGAGUAAUUAUGUAAAUUAAUGAACUCAUGGAAUUGGUGGAAUUGAAAAUGAUAAUUGAUGAUGAUAUAUGUUGAUGAGGUUUGGAUUGUGGUGAUAAUAUAUGUAUGGAAUAUAUUUAUGUUGAUUCAUACAUGAUAUUUGUUUAUGCUAUUCCUGCUUAUCUAUGCUAUUGAUUAUGUUGAUGUAAUACUCACCCCCAGUGGUUUUAACCGCCUACUUGCCUGUAUAGGUGAGUAGACGUUGUGCAGGAGUAGUAGCUCGGUGAGUUCAUGCUGUUGAUGGAUAGUGGGAGCUUUCUCCACUAUCGGGUCUUAGAGUAGAGUCGGCUCUGAUCUAGGUUUUCUUGUCCACUUGUCAGACUUGGAGAUUUUAUGUUUGGAUAUUGUCCACUUGUCGGACUUGGAGAAUUUAUGCUUAUGCAUUUCAUUUGAGAUCUCAUGAC
rnacentral:lncRNA from 1 species